rnacentral:rRNA from 1 species
GAAUUUUAUAUAAAUUAUAUAUGUUUUUGAUAAUAAAAAAAUAAAUAAUAUAAAUUUAUAUUUUGUUGGGAGGAUAAUUAAAUUUUUUUAACUUUAUAUUAAUAAAUACAUUGAUUUAUGAAAAUAUUUUGAAUUAAAUUUUUAUUAUUAGAAUUAAUUACCUUAGGGAUAACAGCGUUAUAUUUUUAGAAAGAUCAUAUUGAUAAAAAUUAUUGC